rnacentral:lncRNA from 10 species
CUGGACAAGAGAAGUAGAAAUUCGCCUGCCCAUUGACGUUGCAGCUAUAAACACAGAAGAGUAGUGUAUAAAAGCAGCAACAAGAGUGAGAGCAUCUUAAUAAUGCCUCGCAGAAGUUUAUGGGGCUGCCCUCUUUGAGACACAUGGUCAGUUGCCUUAGUUUUCUCGACAUUCCAUGCUUAUCUAUCAACUUCCCAGAAGUAUAAUAUUUUAAGUAGAAAUAGUUCAGUCCUGGUGAGCUAUUCUGGGAGAAAGAGGACAAGCUGCUUGUUCUCAGUGCAAUGCACCCUCUUGCUUCUCUGUCGUGGCCCCAUGGUCGUCUAGGUGUGGGAACGAGGGAAAUAAGAAAGGGUUACAUUUUGCUUACUGAACACCAGCAAGGAAGUUGUGAGCUGCCCCAUGGAGAGGCCUAUAUGACAGAGAACUGGUCAACAGCCAACAAAGAAUGGAGGGCCUCCGUGCAGCAGCCCAUGAGGAUCUGAAUCCCACCAAUCACCUUGCAAGGGAGCUUGGAAAAGGAUCCACCUAGGCUUGACACGACUGAUGUCCCGGCUGACUACAGGCUCAUAAGAGGGCUCAGCUAAGCAAUGCCAAAAUUCCUCACCCACAGAAACUGUGAGGUAAUACAUAUAAUGUUUCUCACCAUUAUAUUUUGAGAUGUUUUGUUACAUGGCAAUAGGCACCUACAGUAGUCCCCCUCUUGUCCGUGAGAGAGAUGUUCCAAGAUCCGGAGUGGAUGCCUGAAACCAAGGAUAGUACUGAACCCUAUAUACACUGCUUUUUCUUAUACCUACAUACAUUACAUAUGUAUGAUAAAGUUUAAUUUAUAAAUAAGGCACAGUAAGAGAUGAACAACAAUAACUAAUACUAAAAUUAAACAAUUAUAAUAGUAUCUUGUGAAGUUAAGUGAUAUCGCCUUCUUUCUCUCAAAAUAUCUUAUUGUACUGUACUCACCUGAUAUGGUUAGGCUUUGUGUCCCCACCCAAAUCUCAUCUUGAAUUGUAAUCCCCAUAAUCCCCACGUGUCAAGGGAGAGACCAGGUGGAGGUAAUUGAAUCAUGGGGGUGGUUUCCCUCAUGCUGUUCUCGUGAUAGUGAGUUCUCACGAGAUCAGACGGUUUUAUAAGGGACUAUUCCCACUUCACUCAGCACUUCUCCUUCCUGCAGCCUUGUGAAGAAGGUGCCUUGCUUCCCUUUCACCUUCCACCAUGAUUGUAAGUUUCCUGAGGCCUCCCCAGCCAUGUGAAACUGUGAGUCAAUUAAACCUCUUUCCUUUAUAAAUUACCCAGUCUUGGCAGUUCUUUAUAGCAGUAUGAAAAUGGACUAAUACAUCACCCUUCUUCUUGUGAUGGUGUGAGAUGAUAAUAUGCCUGCCUCAUGAGAUGAAACGAGGUGAAUGACAUAGGCAUUGUGGCACA